rnacentral:rRNA from 1 species
CCUACGGGAGUCAGCAGUGGGGAAUUUUGGACAAUGGGCGCAAGCCUGAUCCAGCAAUGCCGCGUGAGUGAAGAAGGCCUUCGGGUUGUAAAGCUCUUUUGUCAGGGAAGAAAAGGGAUUGGCUAAUAUCUGGUCCUCAUGACGGUACCUGAAGAAUAAGCACCGGCUAACUACGUGCCAGCAGCCGCGGUAAUACGUAGGGUGCAAGCGUUAAUCGGAAUUACUGGGCGUAAAGCGUGCGCAGGCGGUUUUGUAAGACUGUCGUGAAAUCCCCGGGCUUAACCUGGGAAUGGCGAUGGUGACUGCAAGGCUAGAGUUUGGCAGAGGGGGGUAGAAUUCCACGUGUAGCAGUGAAAUGCGUAGAUAUGUGGAGGAACACCGAUGGCGAAGGCAGCCCCCUGGGUCAAAACUGACGCUCAUGCACGAAAGCGUGGGGAGCAAACAGGAUUAGAUACCCUGGUAGUCCACGCCCUAAACGAUGUCUACUAGUUGUCGGGUCUUAAUUGACUUGGUAACGCAGCUACGCGNGAGUAGACCGCCGNGGGAGGUACGGUCGUCGAGAAGUUAAACGUUAACGUAAAGUUAAGUUAGUAGCGNGNGAGAGCGACGACGACGACGACGGGAGGAGGAGG